rnacentral:lncRNA from 1 species
UUCUGCUUCAUUUCACUCUGGCACUCUGGCUUUCAGAGAAGCCACAAGCUGGAAACUUGCCAAUUGCAGGGGCAGAAGGAAAGAGCUCUGGAGAGUCUUGCAGUAGCACUUACAUGCUUUAUCCAGAAAGGUGCACAUGUCACUGUGCUUGGAACUGAUUGGCUACUGCUAGACCCACGGUCCCUCCCAAUCACAGGGGAGAGAGGAAGUGCAACCAUACCAUGUGCCUGGAAGCAGAGAUCCAUAAAUAUUUGUCGGAAUUAAAUCAUUGAUCCCAGAAGAAAGGGACCACCACAGUGCUACGGAAAACAGGAAUUGUGAGAAGUUAUGGGAUCCAUUUUAGCUUGAUUUACUCACAGACUCCUUAAGCACACUUCAUAAGAUGAGGAAACUGAGACACUGGAAGAGGAAGUAACUUGCCCAAUGUCACUCAGCCAGGAAGAGGUGGAACCCAGCAUUGAAAUCCAGACAGUCUAACUCCAAAACAAAUAAACAAUACCACCACACUUUUAUCUUCUAGGCUAUACAUUUCUAAUGGCCAAUGAAGAAAACAAACUGAAAACAAAAUUCCUCCUUCCUGCUCUUGCUUAUUCCUAAUGGCUGUUCUUUUUAGCUCAUGUAGAAAAUAAAGUAGUAACAUGUUUCAGUACUUAUUGUAGCUCUAGUAAUUUCAGCUUGUAAAUUUGCUUUGGAAACCUUAGUGUUUAAAUAUUAAUCAAACAGAUGCAACUUUCCAAGCAACUGUUGUCAGAGAAAGAUCAACAUUCGUUAGAUUUUUACUUACUGACAAGUUAAAAAUAAGAUUAUGGUAGCUUUCCUACCUCCUGAAAAUCUGUUGCUCUUUAAGCCCCUCGUCAGAUUCAAAAGAAAUAUUUUGCACUCAACUUUAAAGCAGAGAUAUAUAAAAAUCAGCAAAUAAAUGAAAAAGUGAUUAAAUUCUUUAUUAAAGAUUUACCAAAAAAUAAUCCUUUAACUAUGUAAUCCUACAAUUGUUUUCAAAUACAAAUGAUUUUCCCCAUGUUUAGAUGUAUGUAUUUAAUGAAUACAACUCAGUAUAAUGAUCUUCCUAAAAAUGCCCCUUUUGUUUCCUUUUCUGAGACUUCUAAUGUAUUAAAAAAUAUAUAAUGCCAAAAAGCUUUUAUUAAAUUGUGAAAAAUUUAAAAUUUCCACACUUGUUAAAGAAAUACUUUUAAGCACACACAUGUGCAGUGAUUUGCUUGUAUUUUUCCCUUGAUGGUAACGGGAUUUAGA